UAAGCAAAAUCCAGCUCCUCUCUGCAAGCACUGCAAAUGGAGAGUGCUGGAAUUCUCCCCUCUGGUUGCAUGUUGGAGCUGUCAAUGAGCAUAGCACAAGAACAGAAAUUGAUCAGAGACACUGAAUUAGCCCAGCAACUUCUAGACUUGCAAAUGUUAGUAGUGGGAAAGUUUCCAGAACAACUUUGCUUGAAUGCACCCAAGAGCCGCUCUCCCUCUGCACUGCCAUUAUUUCACUGACGUCUUCCUUAUUGUUUCAAGAGGCAGUCAGUUUGUGAUUUCAUGUCCUGAUUGCCUUCCUCUUUGUUUCCCUUUUCUGAAUAACAUUUUCUUUUGGAUGGCUUGGCAAGCAGGUCAUUAAGCGUAGAAGAGGCAGAACUUUGUUCAUGUGCUCAAAGUGCUUGGAGUCCAGCAUUUCUUCUACAGUGUCUUCGAGAUCUCAUCCCAAAAUGUUCAUUGUGGGCCACCUCAUGCUCCUUGCAAUUGGUGUCUCCCUCCACACAGCACCAUCAGAUGCUCUACGGUGUCGGGAGUGUGGAAUAUAUCAUCCAUAUCCAGAAUGUAAACCAGUUAGGAAGGACUGUCAACCUGAUACAAAAGAACACACCUGUGCAGUAUCAAGACUCUAUGAAAAAGGAGAGCUGAUAAGAACAUAUCGAGGAUGUCAUGGUAAGUCUGAAUGUGGUAAGAAAAGAACCUUCCCUCCUUCAAGAAGUAGUGAAGUCGUCUGUUGCCAUGAUCGUGACUUCUGCAAUGAAAACUUAUAGAGAGGUGCCUGAAGAUCUUCAUCAAGCAUGGCUAUGCCAAUUAUCUUCUUAUUUGACCUUUGCUCUCCUUGAACCAAUGAAUCCUAACCAUGCUUGUCUGGGAGACUCCCUGCAUUCUUAAGAAUUAAAGUGUAGAAUUGUUCAGAAGUCCAAGAUUAUACUGUGCUUUUAAAAAGGGGGUAGCUUUAUACAGUUUAGAAUACAAAUUUGGGAACACGUAUCCCAUGCAGACAAUCUCUUUGAAAAGAAAAGAAUAGAACAUCAUGGGAUUUUGUAGGGCGAUUGGACAACAACUCCCUGAAUUCUCCAAGCAACAUGUUGCCUGGAGCAUACUGGGGAUUGUAGU
rnacentral:lncRNA from 1 species